CGGGAACAAUAGCAGGGUUUCAGUCACGUGAUUAUGACGACGCGUGAGGGCGGGAAGAAGGCAGAUGGAGGGCAGGAAGUAAACAUGGAGAAUACGUCUAUAGAGGAAACCGUUGCAGAAAGUCAGUAUUGUACGGAUUUAGAUCCAGUUUCAAGACACAGAUACAAGGAGUUAAUUAACAGAUAUGUUGGACGUGACCCGUACCUCAUGAAGAUGAGUGAGUUUUCAGUAGAACUGAAAGAUUUACCGACAGUUGAGGCUGUUGACAUCACCAACUAUCUGGUCCUUCAGACAUCGUACCACACCAGACAGCAAAUGAAGGCCUAUAAAAGUCUGGAGGCAUACAACUUUUUUGUCAACGGAUGGGUCCACAACCUCGGUGUCAAACGGCUCCACGAUGAUCAUUGUUUGGUCUUCGCCAGAACUAUCAGAAUCGUGUUCUCAUGUAGGGGCAGUUCUUUUUUCCAUUGAAGUUGGGUUAAAGAUGCGAGAUUCAGCUUCCUGCACAACAGAGCAGUGCAAGUGGCUGAUGCCAUCACAUGUAAAAAAGUUAUGGAUGCAAACAUGAAGCACAAGCCAGAGGAGCAUAUGAGAAGCUGAUGGUUCGGGAGCAUGCAGGCUUCUCCUGUAUGGACAGUGGUCUCUGGCUGAACCCCAAGUGGCCAUACAUGGGGUCCUCCCCUGAUGGGAUUGUCGCUUGUGACUGUCACGGAACUGGCAUCUGCGAGAUUAAGGUAACAUUACAGUCUCUGUUGUAGUAAAUUCCCUAAAUCUCUAGUACGAGUCAAGUCUCAAGUCCUAAACUGAGCAAAAAGGCAGAAAUUAUCUUUGUUAAAGGAAAACGAAUCUUAACUUAGACAAAUUAAUACAUACCUGUCUU